rnacentral:rRNA from 1 species
CUACGGGAGGCUCCAGUGGGGAAUAUUGCACAAUGGAGGAAACUCUGAUGCAGCAACGCCGCGUGGAGGAUGACACUUUUCGGAGCGUAAACUCCUUUUAUAUAGGAAGAAGAUGACGGUACUAUAUGAAUAAGCGCCGGCUAACGUCCGUGCCAGCAGCCGCGGUGAAUACGGAGGGCGCAAGCGUUACUCGGAAUCACUGGGCGUAAAGAGAGUGUAGGCGGAUUAAAAAGUCAGAAGUGAAAUCCUAUAGCUUAACUAUAGAACUGCUUCUGAAACUCUUAAUCUAGAAUAUGGGAGAGGUAGAUGGAAUUUCUGGUGUAGGGGUAAAAUCCGUAGAGAUCAGAAGGAAUACCGAUUGCGAAGGCGACCUACUAGAACAUUAUUGACGCUGAGACGCGAAAGCGUGGGGAGCAAACAGGAUUAGAUACCCCAGUAGUC